GACGUAGGGGCCAGCGUUGUUCGGAAUUACUGGGUGUAAAGGGUUCGUAGGCGGUGUGGCAAGUCGGGAGUGAAAUCUCUGGGCUCAACUCAGAGACUGCUUCCGAAACUGCUGUGCUGGAGUGUGGGAGAGGCGCGUGGAAUUGCAGGUGUAGCGGUGAAAAUGCGUAGAUAUCUGCAGGAACACCCGUGGCGAAAGCGGCGCGCUGGACCACUACUGACGUGGAGGAACGAAAGCUAGGGGAGCAGACAGG
rnacentral:rRNA from 1 species